rnacentral:piRNA from 1 species
UAUCGAGUUUCUAUACUUAUU